GUUCUUAGCCAUCCCUCAGUUGUUUGUGGAUGCUCCUCUACUGCCUUUAAUGUGAAGGAAAUACAAAUUCUAUAUCACUACUCUUCCCACCACCUCUUGGGAAAAUGGUUACCCAUAAAAAACAAUUUGAUGAGAAGACUAUGAAGAAUGCAGCCCGGGUCACCAUCGAGUAGUACUACAUGUGCCCAGGUUUAAAAGAGUCAAAGGAGGGAAAAAAAGGAUAUUACCUUGAUACAUCAAACAAUGAAGACAGAUAUGCAGCAUUCAAACCAAACUUUAAACAAUGAAUGAACACCGAAACUGAAA